rnacentral:misc_RNA from 1 species
UACGUAGGGUGCGAGCGUUGUCCGGAUUUAUUGGGCGUAAAGAGCUCGUAGGCGGUUUGUCGCGUCGGCCGUGAAAUCUCCACGCUUAACGUGGAGCGUGCGGUCGAUACGGGCAGACUUGAGUUCGGUAGGGGAGACUGGAAUUCCUGGUGUAGCGGUGAAAUGCGCAGAUAUCAGGAGGAACACCGGUGGUGAAGGCGGGUCUCUGGGCCGAUACUGACGCUGAGGAGCGAAAGCGUGGGGAGCGAACAGG